GCCAUGGGCCUGUUAAAGUCGGAGUUAUUAGGCCAUGUGCUUUCCGUGUGUUGUCAUUGUGGGAACGCCACCAGAGCCAACGUCUGUGCAGGGCAGGGGAAGUGUUAAGUGAAGAAUAAAAACAAGUCCAAAUUCCCAUUUGGAAACUGCAUGCCUCAACAAAUACCACUGUUCGUAGCAAGUUAUUAGCUUUGUGGUUGUAAUUCUGGUCCUUUUCAGAAGGGAGGUGGAAAAAAGCAUGUAAAAGAGAUUUUUGAUACUUCACGGUAUAUUGACUGAACAGCAGAAAGCUCCCCAGUCUGCUCGUUCCCCUUUAUGGCUUGGAUGUGCUUGUGGUAACACUUCUUUCUUGUUCUUUAAGCCACCUACAGAUGAACUUGUACAAAAAAUCUCUUCUUUCAAACAGCAAAGUUUUCUCUACUGCAGGCGUUAUGUGGGCCUGCUGAUGGGCAUGAGCUGGUCUUCAUCCACUGGGUACCAAGGAAGGAGAGGCAGUGCAUCUCUGGGCUCUUGAAUUGUUAAUGUUAACUCCUACUGAACUCAGCUUCGUUCUCUAAUGGAGAGACAGCAUUCUGAUCUGUUAAAGAUAUGUUCUUUGGGAAUGGAAGUCAUAACAACGUACAACUCAUUACAGAGGGACGGAAAAGCAUUAAUGCAGAAGACAGAUGGUAAAUAAUAGUACAAGGUAUUUAUCUUAUUAUUUCUUAGGUAUAGUUGUAUGGAGUGAUAGUUAUAGAAUUAUGCAAUUGAUUUAAGUUCUUCAGUGAAGCAUUAACUGUUUUGUCAUCUUCAGAGCUCUUGCUUUUCUUUUAC
rnacentral:lncRNA from 1 species